rnacentral:tRNA from 1 species
GAAAAGCUAGUCUAAUAAAGAUAGCUGAUUUCGACUCAGCUGAUUAUGGUUAAAGUCCAUAGCUAUUCU